GGGCUGGUAGAUCAGUGGUAUGAUCGCCUGACUUGCAAUCAGGAAGUCGGGGGUUCAAUUCCCCCCCAGUCCACCA
rnacentral:tRNA from 1 species